rnacentral:rRNA from 1 species
UACGUAGGGGGCAAGCGUUGUCCGGAAUUACUGGGCGUAAAGAGCUCGUAGGUGGUUUGUCGCGUUGUUCGUGAAAUCUCACGGCUUAACUGUGAGCGUGCGGGCGAUACGGGCAGACUAGAGUACUGCAGGGGAGACUGGAAUUCCUGGUGUAGCGGUGGAAUGCGCAGAUAUCAGGAGGAACACCGGUGGCGAAGGCGGGUCUCUGGGCAGUAACUGACACUGAGGAGCGAAAGCGUGGGGAGCGAACAGG